rnacentral:rRNA from 1 species
AUUGAACGCUGGCGGCAGACCUAACACAUGCAAGUCGAGCGCGAAAGUUCUUCGGAAUGAGUAAAGCGGCGGACGGGUGAGUAAUACAUGGGAAUCUGCCUGGUAGUGGGGGGACAACGUUUCGAAAGGAACGCUAAUACCGCAUACGCCCUACGGGGGAAAGGGGGGGGAUCUUCGGACCUCUCGCUAUCAGAUGAGCC